CUCAGUCCCAAACCAGCCACACUCACAAUUACAGGUCUUCCCCCUGAGUCACAGACAUUAGCCCAUGCAUACUCUUGGAUCCACACAUACUCUCACGGUUGCAUUCAGAUCCAUUCAUUCCAGAUUCACAUGAUCACUGCAUCAUUCCAGGGUCCCCCACACAUCAGCCUCAGACCCUCAUGUAUCCUCUUAUGUGGCCACACACACACAGGUACACUUGGAGGCGGGCUGCCCCUGCCCAGCCUGGCAGAAGGAAUUGUGUGGUCACGAUUAGAGACUGUUCCCCACUGGCAUGGUGAGGUUAGCCUGGAGCGAACCCCUUGAUUCCACAGGUCCCACUCAGACUAGAAACCACCAAUUCAGGAGGAAGAAAGACUUGUGGGUUUGGAGCAGGCAAAAGAAAAACCCAUCUCCAGCCAUGUCCUCAGUCCUCAGCCCACCCCUUAAGGUCCCAGGGCUUCGACACAGCCCCAUCCUCUCCAUCUUAUCACUCUGUUUUAUUUAUUACAUAGCACUGACCACUAUCAGAAGUUAUUUUACCAUUAUCCUUAGCAAACUAACGAAGGAAGAAAAAACCAAA
rnacentral:lncRNA from 1 species